UGAUCGCCUCGGUCAGCUUAGUUUAGCGUAGACAGCGUCGCCAGGGAGUUGUAAAGAAAUAAAAUGUGUUGUUUUUCUGGAGACAUCGUCUCGUGCGGACGUGCUCUGAAUAUUUGUAUACGUGUUCGGUGUUUCUAAUAAAGUUCCUUGUUCAUCAAAAGCGUGCACUUAUUUCGCCGCGCUCGCGUGUGGAAGUGAGAGUGUCGCGGAAGCGUUUAAGUGCAACAUUUUUAGGGGCUCGUCCGGGAUCGGACGUUAAUCUGUCAAACAAAAGCGACCGAGAGAGAAUUCCAUGGCGACGACGCACAGUGGUCCAAACGAAGAAUAUUCUGUUCAAAAUAGGCUACAGACCACUGUGCGACGUCUCACUCGCCGAGGAAGACUCGUUCUCAAUUCGUGGCGACGACUCCUGCAGAGACGAGCACUAUGGAAACUGUGCUUCUGGAACUGCAAAAGCUGCGUGAGGAGCGGUGGCAGGAGCGGGAGGAGCAGCAGUUUCCGCGCCGAGAUCGAGGCCCGUUUUCUUCAGCGCGACGCGGCUUUGCGGCGAAUGGACGAGCGGUUCUCUGAACCACAGCUUGUCCUUCCGUGCGGCGCUCCUGCGGGCAACGAGCUCAAUUAUAAAUUAAAGCCCGAUAUCUAUGACGGAACGGUUUCUUUAAAUGCAUUCUUUGCUCAAUUUGACUUGAUCGCCUGCGCGAAUUCUUGGAGCGAUUCGAUGAAAACUAUCACUUUGGCCUCUUGUCUGAGGAGGAAGGCUCGCGCCGUUUUGAAAUCUGUCCAGGAUCUUGACAAAUUGGAUUAUUCCGAAUUGGUUUCGAAGUUGGAAUUACGUUUUGGGGAGGGACGCGAUUCACAAAAUUUUUAUUCUUUGUUUACGAAUCAUAGACAGAAUUAUAGGGAGGAUUAUGUUUGUUUCGGGCGGAAUUAGAAAAGCUUGCACGGCAGGCGUAUCCUGAAUGUCCUUUUUUGGUACGAAAUAAAAUUGCUUGCGCGCAAUUUAUGUUUUCUCUCGCGGACAGUUUCGUGAAGAGAACCCUCUAAUUAGAGGGAGUCUUCUCUUAAGUCUGCCACUGAAAGGGCGAAAGCGAUUAAAGUUAUUCAGGAAAAUUUUGUGAGCAAAAGAAAUUUCGGAAAAAGGAAUGAGUAUGAGAAAGGUACUUCGUCGGAUUCCGUUUCUUAUGAGAAACGAGGUGAAUAAAACGUUGGAGGAAAUGAAACAAGAAAUUAUAGAGGAAUUCCAUAGUCCUUGGGUCUCGCCAACGGUGUUAGUAAAGGAAAAGAUGGGUCGAUUAGUUUUUGUGUGGAUUAUCGGAAGUUGAACGAGGUGACUGUAAAAGAUUCUUAUCCGCUUCCGAGGAUUGAUGAUAUUCUCGACCGGUUAUCAGGGAACUUGGUGAUUUGUUUCGAAACGCAAGCUGGAGAAGGCUGAGUGGGCGAUCGUAUCCUGUUCGUUGGGCAGGAAGAAAGAAAAUAAAAAGAAUUUAUUGAAGACUGUUUCGCUCACGGUUUUCGACCGUGGUUUUCCGUAAAACUUAGGGCAAAUGUCGAGACAGAGACAAGGUUGCCUUUAGAGGCGCACAGGAGUCCACGGGAAAUUACCUCCCUCCUUGUCCGAAGGUUCAAAAGAGAAAAGCGCAAGUUUCGAGAGAGGAGAGAAGCGCCGGAAAGAAGAGGAAAGUCGGAAGGAAGGUUCUUCGCUCGGAAACUCACAGCGUUGGCUAGGAGUAGAGCAGGUGGCGCAGAGAAACCAGGACCGAUAGGUUUUCCUCGAGAAAGCUAGCCUUAGGUUGUCGGGACGACAACUUUUGAAGAAGGGGAAUAGUGUUGCGAGUGUAAUCUCGCGCACGUUGUGAGCGCGAACUUUAGUCUGCGCUCCGGAAAAAUCAAUAGUAUUGAUCGCCUCGGUCAGCUAAGUUUAGCGUAGACAGCAUCGCCAGCGAGUUGCAAAUCAAUGAAAUGUGUUGUUGUUGUUCUGAAGACGUCGUCUCAUGCGGACGUGCUCUGAAUAUUUGUAUACGUGUUCGGUGUUUCUAAUAAAGUUCCUUGUUUGCCAAAA